CAAGGGUGAGUACACAAUUUAUUGUUUUGAUAUAAAUACAUCCAUUUUAAAUAUACAUGAAGUUUGAAUAUACAGCAGUUAACUUAUUUUUACACUUGUAUGACAAAAAGCAAGAUCGAUUAGGUCGACCCUGCAGCAAUACUUCUACUUGCGUUAACUAACGCUGUGCUUCGUCACACGGUGAGUUGCUUGACUUUACUUUGGUUGUAUGUAGUUGCAUUUUGAAGUUCUUUGCUUAUUUUUGCAUUUGUAUGAAAGGUCGAAGUUACAAAGUAGCAAUGCCUGAAUUCGACUACAGUAGCCCCUCGGCAAGCUUCCCCUUUUCCUCUUACUUAUACCUACGCCAUGCAUUUGUCACACAGUGAGUAGUUUUCUUUUACAUAGUUGUAUUAUACAUUGGUUAGCUUAUUUUUACACUUGUGUGACAGUUCUAAACGCUAAAAAGCACGAUGCAUGAAAGUCAACUAGCCUCUCGGCAAGCUUCCCUUUUCCACUUCCUUUAACCUGGCACUAUGCCUUUGUCGCUUGGUGAAUCAUUUUAUUUUAUUUUAGUUUGCCGUAGUUGUUAGCUUCUUUUUAUACUUUUAUGACAGAGUUUUAUGAUGGCCACAGUUUGACACUGGAUCAGAUUAUUGCCUACAGAAUCAAAUUAGUUUAAAAUGUUUGGAGCCAAUCAGAGGAUGAGCGGUGUUCAAAAGUCAGUGAAGUCCCACGGGCUGCCCCUAGUGACCUUCGAGCCUCUACACCCUGGCCCCUCAAAAAGCAGCCAUGUCACCCCACCUGUUUGAUGCUCCGUGCGGCCCAAAAGAUGCUCCACAGGCGUCUCUGCCACCUGUAUGCACGUAAAUUAAUGAGUGCUGCAACACAGCUACUUGCCCUAACCCCUUCUGAGCUGUGCUUCUUAGUUUUACUGACGUGAAACACAUGAAGGACACUCGCACAGUCUCAUGUGAUCCAAUGUAAGAGCUGUAUCAAAAAAUAUCUAUGUGUUAAUGUAUGUACUUCAGCAAAUGCCUGUGAUAGUUACCUGUAGUACCUGCAGCUUGCUGUUCCGAAGCCCGCCGCUUGCUGUCCCCGUCCAUGUAGGAGCUCAGUGCCCUAGAGAAGUGCUCGUCCACCACGGUGCUGAUGUCCCCCUGGUAGUAGGUGAAGAGGACGCAGCGGGAGGUCAGGUACUCAGCCUCGGGGCCCUCCUGCUUGUCCUUGGGACCCUCAUCUGGCCGCGGAGCUGCCGACGUGUAGGAGGACGAAGAUGAGGAGGAGGAGGAGGAGGAGGAAGCCGACGAAGAGGAUGAGUUUGUGGAUCCGCCGACAGUGCCCUGGCCCCCCGACAUCCCCUCUGGACCCCUGGGAGUGUCCAUAAAGUCCCGACACGGAGAUGCAGACUUCAUAGCGAUUGCAAGUGGACCAAAGUGAAGCUCAAGUUCAACCCAUUCAAAGGGAAGGAGCCCAACAUCCGGCUGAAAUAAAAGAUAGUGUGCAGGAGUAGGGGGUACAUGGCUUGAAGUCAAAUGUCUGAAGGGAUUUUGGUACUACUGCUACUACUACUACUACUACUAACUACAACUAACUAACUAGGCUGUGGUGGAGCAGAGGAGUGAAGCAGUCAGAAUGGACGCUGCAGAAGGAGCGCACUUAUGCCGCACAAGUGUGUGCGCGCGCGCGCGUGUGUGAGCGCCACAACAGCUGCGGCAGUGAGAUGUGGAGGGUAAGUAGGACUGCCCUGUACAUCUUUAGUGUUGACUCCUCCCACUUUUUCCCCCCACAUUUGCUUGCAUGUGCAUUUCAUGUUAAAAUUGCGAUCCAUGAUUGGUUGUUACAGUAUAUAAGAAUAUGUGACAAUGGGCUUCCGAUACAAUGCAAUUCAAAUGAGUUCACUUGCUGACCUGGUGCUGUAAAGGACACAUGGAUGCAUUAGCAACAAAAUGACUUAAUGUACUGUAUUUAUAAAGUAUAU